rnacentral:rRNA from 1 species
UACGUAGGGAGCAAGCGUUGUCCGGAUUUAUUGGGCGUAAAGAGCUCGUAGGCGGUUCCGUAAGUCAGGUGUGAAAAAUCUGGGCUCAACCCAGUGGAGCGCCUGAUACUGCGGUGACUCGAGUCCGGUAGGGGAGUGUGGAAUUCCUGGUGUAGCGGUGAAAUGCGCAGAUAUCAGGAGGAACACCGACGGCGAAGGCAGCACUCUGGGCCGGUACUGACGCUGAGGAGCGAAAGCAUGGGGAGCGAACAGG